UACGAGGGGGGCGAGCGUUGUUCGGAAUUAUUGGGCGUAAAGGGUGCGUAGGCGGUUCGGUAAGUUUCGUGUGAAAUCUUCGGGCUCAACUCGAAGUCUGCACGAGAUACUGCCGGGCUUGAGUGUGGGAGAGGUGAGUGGAAUUUCCGGUGUAGUGGUGAAAUGCGUAGAUAUCGGGGGGAACACCAGUGGCGAAGGCGACUUCCUGGCCUGUUCUUGACGCUGAGGCGCGAAAGCUAGGGUAGCAAACGGG
rnacentral:rRNA from 1 species